GGGUCCCACGACAACCAAUCUUCAAUCGAGCUUCCAUAAUGGGACAGGACUCAUCGGUCAGGUCGCUACUCUGAGCUUCCACGACAACUGACCUUCGAUCGAGCUUCUACAAUAAGCGAUCUCCUUUCAGCCUUCUACAAGAACCAGACUUCGAUCGAACUUCCAUAGUGGUUGGAUAUUGGAUGAGCUUCUAUGAUGUUCGGGCUCCAAUAGCUAGAUUCCU
rnacentral:lncRNA from 1 species